UACAGAGGAUGCAAGCGUUAUCCGGAAUGAUUGGGCGUAAAGCGUCUGUAGGUGGCUUUUUAAGUCCGCCGUCAAAUCCCAGGGCUCAACUCUGGACAGGCGGUGGAAACUACCAAGCUGGAGUACGGUAGGGGCAGAGGGAAUUUCCGGUGGAGCGGUGAAAUGCGUAGAGAUCGGAAAGAACAUCAGUGGCGAAGGCGACCACCUGGACUGUCACAGACGCUGAGGCGCGAAAGCGUGGGGAGCAAACAGG
rnacentral:rRNA from 1 species